UCUAACAAUUAUCUUUGAAAAAAACAAACUUAAACCCAUUCUACCAACACUGCCUUACUAUCAUUUGCUCAAUCAAAACCCUAGCCACCAUUCCCCUUCUACUCGUUUAUCAAGAGGCUGCUACCAAUUUUCAUCGUUGUAGGCGACAAUGAUCUACGCGUCAACUCUCCGUUGUUCCGUUCCUUUCUUAGCCAGAAAGGAGGCUCCUCUGAUAAGAGAUGAUGAUCAAUGUACGAUGGGCUCUACCGGCGGUGAUUUAGGGCGAAAUCGCAAACCGUUAGGGGUGAUAGUCAGUAAUCAAGGCGGCGAUAGGCGAUUAAGCUGGCGCCAAGCGCAGGCGGUCGAUGUUGAGGCAUGAUACACAAUAUGCAUCCGAGCUGGCCGUAAGAAUAAUGAUCUAGGUGAUGUUGGCGAAGACACCUAUCAUCACACCUUCUUUGAGAUGCUUGAUAUCUGGUCAUUUGGUGAUUAUUAUAAAGAAGCCAUCAGAUGGGCAUAGGAGCUUCUCACAGUGCUACCUAUUGAUCGAGGCAAAGGAAGUUACCGACCAAAUCUCAUGUCAGUUAACAAAUUCUGUUGGUAUACCUGAUGCUCCGGUCAAUGUUGGUGACGAGACAAACAAAGAUAAAAGAAGUUACGAAGAUCAUCAAGUUAUAUUUGAAGGAAAAAAUCUUAGUUCCAGUUGGUCCUAGCUUAGGGGCUCGGUAUCGAUUUUGAGAUAAAUCCUAACAUUAACUUGAAAUUAUUGUUAUCACUUUGACACCAUUGGUGGUGACUGAAUAGAGGGUUUGUGAUUUAUAUAUUUUUUAGCUCAAAAUAUCCAAAUUUUAAUAAAAUUGCUUGAUGUAUUUCUGGAAAACCUUUUUUAUUGUAAAUGUUUUUUUUCUCAGCAAAUGUUUAUAAGACGGUGUUAAAAAAUAUUUGUUUUAAUUAAUAUUUGAAAUGUUUUGAUAUUAAAAGACGGUGUUCAUGAAGUUUAAGCCGGUGUUAAAAUUGAACACCGUCUAAUAAGACUUGAUUUUAAACCGGUGUACUUUAAGAUGGUGUUGAAAACACCGUCUUAAAACCCAUAUCACCCUGUCUAAAGAUCUGUUUUGUAGUAGUGUGACGUACUAUGUGGGAUAGCCUAGGGAGUGGGCAAGCCGCACCCCGCGAUGCGACAACGAAGACAAUUUACCAUUUUGUACUCGUUUUCUGUUAGUUUAUCAAUUCUCUCGCAAAAUAUUGAUUGUAUAAUACGUCUGUUAGUUUUUUUAUUCGUAGAAUUGAUGAAUGGAAU